GGAAAAGUUUCGUGAAGAGCUGUGGCAACAACAAAUGGCAUUCCUCAAAGAGCAAUCAGAGUACAUGGCUGCUUACAACGUACAGGCCCAACAAGCAAUGAACUCUUGGUUUCCACAGCAGGCACGACAGCAACCAUUUGUUUUCCCUCAGUUUCAGCUGCCGAUGCCUCAGUGGAGAUUACAUGCUCCGCCACCUCCACCUCCACCUCAGUGAUCCGGGGUCAUGGGCCACAACACGCCACCACCGG